UAACUGAGCGAUCAGUUACUUGACGUAGACCCGAAACCGGGCGACCUACCCAUGAGCAGGAUGAAGCGAAAGGAAAAUUUCGUGGAGGUCCGAACCCACGAGCGUUGAAAAGCUCGGGGAUGACUUGUGGGAAGCGGUGAAAAUCCAAUCGAGCCCGGAGAUAGCUGGUUCUCCCCGAAAUAGCUUUAGGGCUAGACUCAAAGUCGAGAGAUACGGAGGUAGAGCAAUGAAUAUCCUAGGGGGUAUUUCACCUACCGAAGACUUUCAAACUCCGAAUUCCGGCAUCUUAUUCUUUGUAGUCAGACUUUGGGUUAUAAGAUUCAUAGUCGAAAAGGCAACAGCCCAGCUCAUCAGCUAAUGUCCCUAAAUGUAAGUU
rnacentral:rRNA from 1 species